rnacentral:rRNA from 1 species
UACGGAGGGGGCUAGCGUUGUUCGGAAUUACUGGGCGUAAAGCGCACGUAGGCGGCUUUGUAAGUUAGAGGUGAAAGCCCGGGGCUCAACUCCGGAAUUGCCUUUAAGACUGCAUCGCUCGAAUUGUGGAGAGGUAAGUGGAAUUCCGCGUGUAGCAGUGAAAUGCGUAGAGAUGCGGAGGAACACCGAUAGCGAAGGCAGCUUACUAAAGAGUAACUGACGCUGAGGCACGAAAGUGUGGGGAUCAAACAGG